CUCCUCUGUCACUAGAUGAAUUCUACUUUUUUUUUAAAUAGAUUCAGUACAAAUUUUUCCUCUAAAGUCUGGAGUCAACCAAUUUACUCCCCCUAAUUUUUCACAAAGAUCUCUUCCUACUCAAAGUUCACAGUCCUCAGUGUCACUGCCCUAAAGCCAGGGAAUUUAACUCCUUCCUGGAAGGUAAGCCCUCCAGGUAGAAUUCAUUAAGAAAGUUACUCCCUAAGGCACUGUCCAGUGAAAAUAGAAAAGGAAUUGAAAUCAAGAGGCCUGAAUUCAAAUACAGCUCUGCAACUUUAAAACUUAGGACCCAGGGAAAGUCUAUAAAUAAUCACACUAGAACCAUGAAUGAUUAUAGUGUGAGGACUAAGUACUAUAAAUUCCUUCAUCUUAUCUCUCUGUUUUUUUAUUGUUCAGUUUUAGACCUGUCUAACUCCUUGUGAGCCCUUUUAAGAUGUUCUUGGCAAAGCUACUGAAGGAUUUGUCCUUUCCUUUUCCAGAUCACUGAACAGAUAAGAAAACUGAGGCCAACAAAGCAACUUGCCUGGAAUCACACAACUAAUUUGUUUAUGCAAAACUGACUCUUUUGGAAAAUGAUGGAAUCAGAGAUUGGAGCUCAAAACAAUCAUCAGCAAACAUCUAGCCAAACUUCAACAUUAGGAAACUGUGGCUUAAAUGGAAUGAUGAGCAGGAUUCCUGAAAAACUUGGACCCACUUACGUGAACUGAUGGACAGAACUUGGAACAUUGUUAUGCAGCAACAGCAAUAUUCUAAGAUGAUCAGCUACAAUAAUGUCUUAGCUAUUCUCAGCAAUACAAUGAUGUAAGGUAAUGCCAAAGGACUCAUGAAAAAUAUUAUCCACCUGCAGAGAAAGAACUACUGGACUGUGAAUAUAGAUCAAAGCACACAAUUUUUCACUUUAUUUUCUUCAUAUUUUUUGUUGUUGUUGUUGUUGAUUUUUAGGUCUUCUUCCACAACACAACCAAUAUGGAAAUAUGUUUUGCAUGCUUGCACAUGUAUGACCUAGAUCAAACUGCUUACUAUCUCAGGGAGGAAAUAGAGAAGGGUGAAACUCAAAGAUUAAUGUUACAAAUUGUUAUUAUAUAUAA